ACCAUUUAGGCGGGAAUUAGCGCGCUAGGUUUAGGACUUUGAUGUGAUUAGGAUCAAAUGGUA
rnacentral:tRNA from 1 species